rnacentral:rRNA from 1 species
UACAGAGGUCCCAAGCGUUGUUCGGAAUUACUGGGCGUAAAGGGCUCGUAGGUGGCCAACUAAGUCAGACGUGAAAUCCCUCGGCUUAACCGGGGAACUGCGUCUGAUACUGGAUGGCUUGAGUUCGGGAGAGGGAUGCGGAAUUCCAGGUGUAGCGGUGAAAUGCGUAGAUAUCGGGAGGAACACCAGUGGCGAAGGCGACUACCUGGCCUGUUCUUGACGCUGAGGCGCGAAAGCUAGGGGAGCAAACGGG